rnacentral:misc_RNA from 1 species
AAGUCGUAACAAGGUUUCCGUAGGUGAACCUGCGGAAGGAUCAUUAUCGAGAUUUGAAGGUUGUAGCUGGCUUCUCUGGAGCAUGUGCACGCCUCUCUUAUUCAUUUAAACCCCUGUGCACUUAUUGUAGGCUGGAGAAAUCUGGUCUAUGUUUUCUUUACACACCCCCUUUUGUAUGUUCAUAGAAUGUCUUAUUUGUAGGCUUGCUUGCAAGCUGAAAUUUAAUACAACUUUCAACAACGGAUCUCUUGGCUCUC